rnacentral:rRNA from 1 species
UACGUAGGGUGCAAGCGUUGUCCGGAAUUAUUGGGCGUAAAGAGCUCGUAGGCGGUCUGUCGCGUCUGCUGUGAAAAUCCAGGGCUCAACCCUGGACCUGCAGUGGGUACGGGCAGACUAGAGUGCGGUAGGGGAGAUCGGAAUUCCUGGUGUAGCGGUGAAAUGCGCAGAUAUCAGGAGGAACACCAAUGGCGAAGGCAGAUCUCUGGGCCGUAACUGACGCUGAGGAGCGAAAGCAUGGGGAGCGAACAGG